rnacentral:misc_RNA from 1 species
AAGUCGUAACAAGGUUUCCGUAGGUGAACCUGCGGAAGGAUCAUCAUCGAAUUCAUAUCCCCCUCCUCUCCCGGAGGAGGGGGACCCAUGAUAAACCCUCUGUGCACCGUAACCGUUCACUUUGGCAGGCUUUGAUGGUGAGCGUGAGCUCACCUCCAACCUCGCGUUCCCUCCCUAGGGACGUUACGCGUGGCGGCCUGCCGAAGUCCUCCCAUUAAAAAAAACGUUUUCGAACACGUCUGAAAAUUUGCUUUGAGAAAUCAAAGAAUCGAAACAACUUUCAACAACGGAUCUCUUGGCUCUC